GAUGAACGCUGGCGGCGUGCCUAAUACAUGCAAGUCGAACGAGUUCUUGUUGAUGAUCGGUGCUUGCACCAAGAUUCAACAUGGAACGAGUGGCGGACGGGUGAGUAACACGUGGGUAACCUGCCCUUAAGUGGGGGAUAACAUUUGGAAACAGAUGCUAAUACCGCAUAGAUCCAAGAACCGCAUGGUUCUUGGCUGAAAGAUGGCGUAAGCUAUCGCUUUUGGAUGGACCCGCGGCGUAUUAGCUAGUUGGUGAGGUAAUGGCUCACCAAGGCGAUGAUACGUAGCCGAACUGAGAGGUUGAUCGGCCACAUUGGGACUGAGACACGGCCCAAACUCCUACGGGAGGCAGCAGUAGGGAAUCUUCCACAAUGGACGCAAGUCUGAUGGAGCAACGCCGCGUGAGUGAAGAAGGCUUUCGGGUCAUAAAACUCUGUUGUUGGAGAAGAAUGGUCGGCAGAGUAACUGUUGCCGGCGUGACGGUAUCCAACCAGAAAGCCACGGCUAACUACGUGCCAGCAGCCGCGGUAAUACGUAGGUGGCAAGCGUUAUCCGGAUUUAUUGGGCGUAAAGCGAGCGCAGGCGGUUUUUUAAGUCUGAUGUGAAAGCCCUGGAGGGUUGUCUUUGUCGCGUGACAUGAUUCG
rnacentral:rRNA from 1 species